ACCCCCAAACCACACGGUUCGCCCUUGACCUUGGGACCUCACACCAGCUGCAGCCUUCACUUAUGUCUAUCUACCUUGCCGGUCAACAUUAGGCCUAUCUAACACUGCAGCAAUGUCAGCUUCCCUUCUCCGUAGCGUUGUACGCCGAGAGGCACUAGCAGCCCGGGCAGUAUGGCAGUGUUCCAGAGCGUAUGCCAGCACAGCGCCCACAACAAAGAACUACAUCAAUGGAAAAAUGGUGGAGUCCAAAGCUGACAAGUGGAUUGAUGUGCAUAACCCGG